rnacentral:lncRNA from 10 species
GAAACAGUAAUAUGGCUUGAGCUCUGGAGUUGGAAGCUGCAGUGAGCUAUGAUGGCACCACUGCACUCCACCCCGGGGCAACAGAACAAGACUCUGUCUCUAAAAUAAUACUAAUAAUAAACUGGUUGUAAUAUUUUACAUUCUCACCAAAAGUGCAUGAGAGUUUUGUACAGAACUCAUUCUUGAGAUUGAAAGGCAUGGGCAUCUGAACACGCCACACCAAAAUAUGCCACUUAAGCAUGUUCAUUAUUUUGAUCUGAAGGGAACUGAAAAACAGCAGAUUCAGAAAGGGCUGUCUGCUCUUCCCAUUUCUACCUAAAAGCAGGGCAUAAAUUUCCCAUGAGAAAGGUUUUCCUAGGAAGGAGAGAACAUUCUUAUCACUGGAGAUGGGAGGUCAAUGCUGAGAUAUGUUUGCCCAUGGCUCCACCUGGACCAACAACCCCACUCCUGUGGCUGCACCCAGAAGCGAUUUGGCCUGCAGGAGGACAGCUUCAACCCCUUGUGAUUUCAUCUCCACCCCAACCAAUCAGCAGCAAGUACCUGCUACCUGGCCACCCCCACCCCUUCCCCAAAUGCCUACUGAUGUAUGGACUUCAGAGUAACAUGACCUGUAUGAAUUUUCCAGGAUUGUUCUUCAUUGUUUGUUUGUUUGUUGUUGUUUUUCUUCUUCCCUCCCCCUAUUUUCUCUUUGUAGAAUGUGUGACUUUACAAUCUGCUAAAAAUGAGCUUUCCUAAUAAUGUGGGACCUACCCGUCUAGGAAUAAACCAUCCUAGCCAUGAGAGAUCAGACAAAACCUCAGCCCAAAGACUCAUUUUCCUCUAAAAUGCUUUCUUUGAAAGCUUUUUAAAAAGAAAAGUGGGGAAAUGCAAAAGGAAAAUAAACCUCAGUUCCCCCAAAUCACUAAGCCAAAGGGAAAAGUCAGACUGGGUACUGUGGGCAUACUUGCCUCCCACUCUAUUCCUAAAUAAGAUAGCUACAAAGAUUAAAAAAAAAAAAAAAAAAGCUACAUACCUCCGUCAAAUGCAUAUCUGAUUGCUUCCUUGCUCCAUUAUUUCACUAAGCUAGACUAAGGCAUAAGUGACUGUUCCUGUAAAUUGUGUAUUCAGUGAAAGGCUGAUCAGAAACUAAAAAUAAUGCAACUGUUUAUGUCUUAUCUACCUAUGACCUGGAAGCCCUCUCCCUGCUUUGACUUGUCCCACUUUUCUGGACUGAACCAAUGUACGUCUUACAUAUAUUGAUUGAUGUCUCAUGUCUCCCUAAAAUGUAUAAAACCAAGCUGUGUCCCGACCACCUUAGGCACAUUACUUCAGGACCUCCUGAGGCUGUGUCAUAGGCACAUCUUAACCUUGGCAAAAUAAACUUUCUAAAUUGAUUGAGACCUGUCUCAGAUACUUUUUGGUUUACAAAAGCCUUGUGACAAUACUCUUGAGAAAAGACAGCUUCUAGCAGCAGAGACAGAUACCUCCAAAAUGGCCACAGGAUCUCCUGUCUCAAGAAGACCUUUAAGCUUACCAAAUCCAUGUGCUAACUCCAUCAAAACUGACCAAGGUAUAAAGGAGAAGAUGGUGACCUUUGGGGAGCCUGAGGGGACUGUCUCAAAGGGCCCUUGUAUAAGAGGGGACAGACUGGGGUUGGAGCUCCUGCCUGUGUCAAAAAGAAGGCCUGGAAGCAAGAGGAUGAAGACAUGUGUUCAACUUUGCCUUGGGAUCUGCCUCCAUAGGUAGGGAAAGAGUAUAAUGAAUGUGGGAACACUGCAGCUUGAUUGAGAAACUCCAAUUGCUUCACAUGUUUUUCUCAUUGCCCUUGUUUCUAACAGUUUGCUGUGAAAAAACACUGUGUAUAGAGUGAGUGUGUAAGUAUGUGUGUAUGUGUGUAUGGGAAAGUGAGAGACUCAUACCUACCAGCUGGCUUCAUCUCUCUCUGACUUUCUAUUUUGUUUGCUCAUUUUUCUGAUAUCUCUCUGUAUCUCUUCUCUGACU